rnacentral:rRNA from 1 species
AACGAACGCUAGCGGCAUGCUUUACACAUGCAAGUCGAACGGUAACAGGCCGCAAGGUGCUGACGAGUGGCGAACGGGUGAGUAAUGCAUCGGAACGUGCCCAGUCGUGGGGGAUAACGCAGCGAAAGCUGUGCUAAUACCGCAUACGAUCUGUGGAUGAAAGCGGGGGACCGAAAGGCCUCGCGCGAUUGGAGCGGCCGAUGUCAGAGUAGGAAGUUGGUGGGGUAAGGGCCCACCAAGCCAAGGAUCUGUAGCUGGUCUGAAAGGACGACCAGCCACACUGGGACUGAGACACGGCCCAGACUCCUACGGGAGGCAGCAGUGGGGAAUUUUGGACAAUGGGCGCAAGCCUGAUCCAGCAAUGCCGCGCGCAGGAAGAAGGCCUUCGGGUUGUAAACUGCUUUUGUACGGAGCGAAAAGGCUCUCUCUAAUACAGGGGGCUCAUGACGGUACCGUAAGAAUAAGCACCGGCUAACUACGUGCCAGCCGCCGCCGUAA